AUCGAACGCUAGCGGGAUGCUUUACACAUGCAAGUCGAACGAGUGGCGGACGGGUGAGUAAUAUAUCGGAACGUGCCCAGUAGCGGGGGCUAACUACUCGAAAGAGUGGCUAAUACCGCAUACUAUGGGAGCGGCCGAUAUCGGAUUAGAUAGUUGGUGGGGGAAAGGCUCACCAAGGCAACGAUCCGUAGCGGGUAUGAGAGGACGACCAGCGACACGGGGACUGAGAAACGGCCCAGACUCCUACGGGAGGCAGCAGUGGGGAAUUUUGGGCAAUGGGGGAAACCCUGAUCCAGCCAUCCCGCGUGUGUGAGAAGGCCUGCGGGUUGUAAAGUACUUUUGGCAGAGAAGCGGUAUCUGCAGAAUAAGCACCGGCUAACUACGUGCCAGCAGCCGCGGUAAUAC
rnacentral:rRNA from 1 species